rnacentral:lncRNA from 1 species
AGGUCUCCGUAACUAUUAAUUUCUCUGUCCUUCUAAUCUGUAUUCCCUGAGAAAUUAAUUGGGCUGGCAAGUCAAAGCCCUGAACCCCAGCUGCAGCUUUCUGAGCUUGUUCUGUCCAUCUGUGAAGUAAGGCAAUGAGAAGUGAGUCGGGGAACGGAACCCACGAUGCGUCAGAGGAGUGUUCCAGUUGCACACACACUCCCCAGCCACCUGGCAGCUCAGUCUAUAAUCUGGAGGCUUCCACAUCUACAGCUCCAUACAAAUGAACCUCUGGUUCUAAAGAAGUUUCUUCCUUGUCUGGUUCUCACUUUCUAAACCUCAGUCUCUGGAGAGAAAAGGAGUCCUGGAGGAUGAACAAGGCGAGCUUGGAGUAAUUUGGAAAAGCUAAUGUUGUAGGACAGAAGCAAAGCCUGCAAGUCACAGCCUAGGUUCCCUGAGUGAUGUUUUCAGCAGUAAACUGCAACUUCAAAGCUAAGAGCCAUCCUAAUAAUUUGCCAUAAAAGGUAGCUUGUUAAAAAUGAGUCAAAAAGGCCGGGUGCAGUGACUCACGCCUGUAAUCCCAGCGCUUUGGGAAGCUGAGGCGGGCGGAUCA